UACAUGGGGUGCAAACGUUGCUCGGAAUCAUUGGGCGUAAAGCGCGCGUAGGCGGUUACUUAAGUUGGAUGUGAAAGCCCUCGGCUUAACUGAGGAAGUGCAUCCAAAACUGAGUAGCUAGAGUACGAAAGAGGGUCGCGGAAUUCCCGGUGUAGAGGUGAAAUUCGUAGAUAUCUGGAGGAACACCGGUGGCGAAGGCGGCGUCCUGGACCAACACUGACACUGAGGAGCGAAAGCCAGGGGAGCAAACGGG
rnacentral:rRNA from 1 species